rnacentral:rRNA from 1 species
GAUGAACGCUGGCGGCGUGCCUAAUACAUGCAAGUCGAGCGAACGGACGAGAAGCUUGCUUCUUUGAUGUUAGCGGCGGACGGGUGAGUAACACGUGGAUAACCUACCUAUAAGACUGGGAUAACUUCGGGAAACCGUAGCUAAUACCGGAUAAUAUUUUGAACCGCAUGGUUCAAAAGUGAAAGACGGUCUUGCUGUCACUUAUAGAUGGAUCCGCGCUGCAUUAGCUAGUUGGUAAGGUAACGGCUUACCAAGGCAACGAUGCAUAGCCGACCUGAGAGGGUGAUCGGCCACACUGGAACUGAGACACGGUCCAGAAUCCUACGGGAGGCAGCAGUAGGGAAUCUUCCGCAAUGGGCGAAAGCCUGACGGAGCAACGCCGCGUGAGUGAUGAAGGUCUUCGGAUCGUAAAACUCUGUUAUUAGGGAAGAACAUAUGUGUAAGUAACUGUGCACAUCUUGACGGUACCUAAUCAGAAAGCCACGGCUAACUACGU